rnacentral:lncRNA from 1 species
CGAAUGGAGGAGAAGGAGGAAAAGGGGCAUUGGCAUCUUGUCUAAGUAAAUAUGCCCUAGCUGGGAAGGUGAGGCCAUGUGACGGCUGCCAGCGCCGAAGGAGGAGCACAGCUUGCUGCUUUGCGUAUAAAAGCAACACUUGCACGAGGCCCCAAAACCACUUGGCUGGUGCGAACCAAGAACUGAAUGCAGCACAAGCGGCCGCUGCCACCAUGAAGUUGACACUUGUCUUUCUGCUGGUGGCCCUGGCGUCCUACAGCUGCUCUCCAUCUGCUGCUUGUGAAACUCUGCUCGACUUUGCGGAGGCCCUUCUCUAUGCCCCGGAAGACCAAUACCUGCAGUACCUUUAUCGCUUGUCCCUUGAUUCCCCUCCACUAAGAAGAGUUUCCCUUGAGCUCAAAUCAUGCGCAGAAGCUCUCUCACCGGAACAGAAGGAGGCAAAACUAGCCAUGGUGGGAAAUAUAAUASAAUACUGUGAAAAGCAAGAAUAGUCCCAGGACCUUUCUUGGUGAUGACUCCAGAUGCYGACUGAUCCUGAAUGAUCCAUUUUCACUCCUUUCUCCUUUUUUUUGGCCAAGAACUUUCACCCUCUUCCUGAAUAGAGGAUUGUGUUAGCUAGAAUCCGCAACCCUGUUUUCAAAUCCCUUAAGCUUCCCAUUACAAUAAAAUAAAAGCAAUGAAUACCUGUGUUUGUGAA